GUCCGGGCCCAGCGCUGGCGGGAGGGAGCGCGCGCGGGUGCCACCCACCCUUCGCCCUCUCAAGCUAGGUCCCCUUUGUUCCCCCACCCGGAAAGAGGCCGCCGCGCCAGGGAAGCACCCAGCCACAGAGUCCUCCAGGCGCCGAUCCUGCGCGGUCGUCUUGGUCCCGGAGAUGACCGAGUCCCGGCACACGGACCGCCACGACCACAGGGAGGAAGAGCCAGCUCAUCAUUGCCCACUGCCGGUCAGGCAGAACCAUGCGGCCCCCAGGGCCCCCGCAAGCCCACUGCUUCACAGGCCUGCAGCCCUGCCCCGUACCCCCUUGUCUCCCUGAAAGUUUGUUAACUGUUCUCCCCUGGGAGAGGGCCACCCAGGAACAUUGAAACAAGAGCAAGAAUCCCAGAGGCAAGCCUUCCAUCCUCCCCUUCUGCCAGUGUCCAGCUCUUCUGGCCCCAAGGAGCCUCCAGUGAGGACUUUGAUUCCAAAAGAACAGAAGCCUGGGGGCCUACGUCUCCUUUCACUCUGAAACCUGGAAUUCUGGAGCUGUGCUAGGCAGAGAUUAUAUACAACAGAGUCGUUUAAGACCUGCCUCUGCUGCUAAGUUCAGGGCCUUGGGUGGAUGUGAGGAUACACAACUCAGUGGAGACCUGGUGUGGGGCCCGGCGCACAGUGAGUGGAAGCUGGCUCCUGUCCCUGUGGUGAUUCCUGUGUGCUGACCCCUUUCCUGACUGAGCCCCUGGACAAGGUUCGGACCCCAGCAGAGAGCCCCGCAUAGGAGCCAGGUGUUGAGAGGCCGGUGCUGCUGAAUGAAUGGGUGGAUGCCCUCCCCACACAGAAGCGACUUCUCUUCAUCAACGCUUGUGACUCACAUCUUGUCAAAUCUCUCCAGCUUGAAAACCUUCCUCCUGCAGCUGCCGAUUGGAGAGCAUCCACAUUUCAUGGCUAGAGACCUGAAUUCCAGGGCCAGCCGGUUGUCCAUGAGCUGGAUGAUCACUCCCUUGAGCCAACCGUUCCCCGUGGUCGUGCGGGGCUUGUGGUCCCCCAGGCUGCCUCUGAGGAUUAGACGCGUUUUAUCUUGUGCAGGGAACACAGGGCAUCGAGAUACCACCCAAAGACAGCCACCGUGGACUCACUCCAAGUGUUCUUCCUGGGGGGGCUCCCUAGCACAUAUGCGGGCAAUUUCCCCUGUAUUGUUCUAUAAUCCUUGAUGGUUGCUCUAUAAUUGCUCUCAAAUGGUUUAAUCAUAAUAAAUAGCAUCUGCAGAGCAGUUUACAAACUGUAACUCUUCCCGCACCCCCCUCCCACCUUUACAGAAAGAAACUGAUGCUCAGAGAAGUUAAUGAACUUCUCUAAGACCACACAGUGAGCAAGGAGGCAGAGCUCACCCCUCCCCAGGCUGUGGGGCUGGCAGGUCCCCAGGCCAGUGUAUCCCCAGCUCACUGUGUCCCCAGUUCUGUGCAGGGGCGGGAGGCACAGGGAGCCUGGCAGAAGGCAUGGAGGCUGUCUGGGAUCUGAUGGCUGGUGGGGAGGGGGCAUUUCACCAGGUGUGAGGGUGUCCAGGCAGGACUGUAUGCUCGCCUGUGGGUGCAGGUAGGCAUUCAGGCUGAGACCAGGUGACCCCUAAAGGGGGCUUAUUUAGGGGUCAUACCUCCCAGGGUGAGAUGUGGAACCAGCUUAGUGUCACAAACCCUUUUUGUUCUUAGGUUUAGGUGACUUAGAAUCUUCUAGAAAAAGACUGGGCCAGAUGAAAUGCUUCCAUUGGAACGAGAAGCAAUGCUUCCAUUGCUUCCAGUCUCACCCAGAUAAAC